GUUUCUGUGCAACGUCAUCGCAGAUGUGCGCGCGCAGCCAGGGGGCAGAAAGCGGGACAUUUGUCAUUUGUUUACCAGCGGAGUCAGCGGAGAACGAAAAUGACAAGGAGCUGUUGUGCUGUAAACUGCACGAAUCGGCAAAAGGAUGGAUGGAAACGGUUUAAUAUCCCGAGAGGAUCUCAUCCUUUUGCCAAGAGAAGAAGAAGAUUGUGGCUCCAGGCCAUUAAAAGGGCGGAUUGGCCGUCCCGAAGGUCCUAAAGGCGGCGAGAGUCUGUGCAGCGCCCACUUCGUUUCUGGGUCACCGUCCAUGGAUUGUGAUAGUCCAGAUUUUGUUCCAUCCGUUUUUUCACACAGCAGCAACUGAGACAUCUCGGGAAAGGUGGCAAGAUAUGAAAGAAAGAGAAUAAGAGAUGAAGAUAAGGCCCCUGCUACCUGCCCCACAAGCCAGCCUGAAGCAGAUACUGCAGAUUCUUCUGAAGAUGAAUGUAAGUUUGUGUCCAGAAAAGAGAUGCACCAACUCAACCUGCAGUACAACCAGCUCCGUGAUGAUUAUGAAGCUCUGAAAAGAGAACUGUAUGCCACACAGGAAGAAAAUAAACAUCUGAAGGAGCAACUGAAGCAGUCCAAGUUUGGGUUUGAUUCCAUAAAAGACACAAAUGCUAAAAUAUUUUUUUUUACUGGUUUACAAUCAUUACAAAUGGUUAUGUGGCUGCUGGAUAUUGUAAAAAGAAGCACACUUGUGCUUAAGGGUGGGUUAAGUUGGGAGAACCACCUCCUUUUGGUUCUAAUGAAAGUAAGACUUGGACUCACCAACAGAGACCUUGCCUACAGAUUUGGGCUUCCAUUCUCAACUGUAUCAAAAAUACUAAGAGACUGGAUACCCAUGUUGUCCUCAAUAGUGAAACCUUUGAUAAUGUGGCCUAGUAAGGAUGCAGUGAGAGCAAACAUGCCAAAGUGUUUUAAACCCAAAUUUAGGAAUUGUCGAUGUAGACUGUACUGAAAUCUUUAUAGAAAGAACACACAAUCUUAAAGCAAGGGCUGAAACCUGGUCAAAUUAUAAGCACCAAAACACAAUGAAAUAUCUAAUAGGAAUCACACCAGCAGGAGCUAUAUCUUUUUUGUCUAGUGGGUGGGGAGGUCGUGCCUCUGACAAGGUAAUAACUUUAGAUUCUGCCUUUUUGGGUAAACUUGAGCAUGGUGACGAGAUCCUUGCUGAUAGAGGUUUCCUUGUUGGAGAGGAUUUGGCCAGUGUAGGAGCAACAUUAAGAAUACCAAGUUUCACGAAGGGGAAAUCUCAGUUGCCAGGUUCUUGUGUUGACACUUCACGUCAGUUGUAAAGAGUCCGCAUACAUGUGGAACGAGUUAUUGGUCAGCUUAAAACCUUUAAGAUACUGAACACUGUCAUACCCAUCAGCCAAGUCGAUAUGCUAGAUGACAUUUUGACCAUAUGUGCUGGUCUUACGAACCUUAGGGGGGCUGUGGUGGCCCGGCGAUAACUGUGUUCAGAGUCAAGGAGGUGUACAUUAUUUUCCAUGAUUGUGUCAGGCUUUUAAGGGCUAAUGAGGGCAAUGGUGGUCACUUACUACUUGCUCUCACUGUCUCUCACUUACUCAUCACUCUCUUUCUCUCUGACUAUAAAAUUAAUAACAGUUAUGAAUAACUAAAUUUGAUCAGACAGGAUCAUUCAGAGUACAAAAAGGUUGAGAACCACGCACGCAGAACUAUUUCAUUUAUUUAUGAUAAUGGAGAAACUGCGUUUAAAGCUGACAUGGCAAAUAUUGAACAUGAACUGAAUGUUGUAAAUGCAAUAUAUUGAAGGCAAUGCAAUUAAAAUUAAAUGUACAUCUCAACAAUGAAUGAGUGUACAUAAUUAAUACUAUAUGAACUCAUUUAACAUUUAUACCUGGACAUUUUUUUUUUUUCUAGCUUUCAACUACGUUUUGAGUAUUAUCAUUGUCUGCCGAACUCAAACUGCACUUCUUUCUGGCGAUGAACAAUAUAUAUCAGUGCUGUUUGUGAUUUUACGUAAAUGUACAUUCAGAAAAAAAUAAAUGAACACUUAAAGAGUCAGAUGUGUUGUUUGUUUGUUGUUGUGUUGACAGUAAUGAAGUCAGUUAGAUUUUGUCAGGUGGUGUACCUAUCCAUC